UAUCUGGUCCAGAGGGAUGCCUAGGUCCAUGCCCAGGUGGCUUCUGAAGAUCUUCUGGAGGAGAACUCAGUCACCUGUACAGUAACAAAGUGCUUCCUGAUGUUCCAAUGGAGCCUCCUGUGUUUCAGUUUUUGCCCAUUGGCUCUUGUACUGAGGCUGAGCACACUGAAAAGAGCCUGGCUACAUACUUUUUGCAGAAUGAACUCUUGGGAAGGAAAGAAAUCCUGGUCAGUGGGAAAUUCAGUAUGAUUUGUGAGAAACUUGUUUGUGCAAAGGAGGAUGUACCACAGUUUGUUUUCAGCUAGGAUAUGCUCAAGCCCUUGUGUAACUUCUUCCUCACAUAAGAAACCAUUCUGAUGUAAAAUGGAAAGGUUAGGAAACGAGUUUUGUUACAGUACUAAUGGAAUUCUUUACCAAACUCAAAAGGACAUGGAUCUCCAAGGAGAAGAUAAGACUAAAGUUCUUUUUACAGUGUAAGUCUUAAUAAGUCUCUUUAAAGAAUUACUUGUGUUUGAAAAGCCACUGAAAAGUCUGAAAGACUCCUUUUUGGAAAGAACACGAGGACUUGUUUACAGCAAGAUUCUGGUGCCCUUGUGAUAGCUAAAUGGUAAAUUUCCUUAAUCAGGACUUAAGGGCACAAGGGCAUAUAGUCUGGACAUAAGUGUGUAAACUACAUGUGUGAAUAGAGCAUCUGAUCUGUAAGCAGGAAAAAGGUUAAUUGAGAAUACAAUGUAGGCUGUAUUAAUUAAGCUUGGUUACUGUGUUAAGGUAUGAGUAGUUUAGUCUGGAUUAAUAUAAACAAUUGCCAUGUUUGAAAUGUUAAAAUUAUGCAGAAAAAAAUGAUGUGCAUGUUUUUUAACUAAAGGACUGUACUGAAUUACCCAUUAUCUGUAAUUAUCUAUAUGCUGCUACAGAUCCUCCCUAUAUUUAUUCACUUUUGCAUUUCUCAAUAUGCCACAAGUGUUGCGUAAAACCAUUAGGAUGAGGGAUGUACUCUGGCAAAGAUAGCUGAGGAGAAGGGAACAAGAAUUCAUUUUACUAUGAACACUUGGUAAUGUAGUUACCCACGUGUUGUUUUGCAAAUAUUAUAUGCUAGUGAGACUCUGUAUGUGAAGUGCCUCUCAAUCCACCUCCAUCCACUCUUUCUUUGCUUAUGCUUUCUGAAAUCUAGACAUUUUUUAGUGGUUUUUGAUGGUGUGAUUGUUUUAGCUGUCCACUGUGCCUUUUCUUUGAACUGUCCAGUAGCGCCUGCAGGGAAGUUGAUCUUCAGGCUCCUUCAUUAACACAUAGAUAAGUUAUUUCCAUUUUUUAUACGUAGUGACUUUGGAAAUAAGGUUUAGUGAUCUCACUGACAAAUCUAGUGUUUGUUGUCUCUUUAUUUCACACAAUAACUUCCCUGUCCCCAAAAAUUUGUAUUAGAAACACUCAAAACUUGUCUACCUUUCAUAAUUUUAUGUGAAACGUUUAACUGCAAAAAAUAGCAUGGCUUCUAACAUCUACAUUACAAAAUUGUGUUUCAGCCUGUGCAUACAACUACUGCUUUGGCAGACUGAGAUGUUUCCCAGGGAACUCUCAUAAAGCUUUGAAUGUUUCACACUUUCUGUCCUGCUGCAUUGUAGAAUAAAGAGAGGUAAUAACAGGUUUGGUUAUGGGGCUUACUGCAUGCUUAUACUUCUAAGUACUCAGCCAGUGUUUUCAUACUUUAACAUUAAGGCUAUCAUCUUGUUUACUAGACAGUUUUUUGGGCUUUGUUCAUACUGUUGCUGAAUACCACAUGCCCAUCUGGAGGUUUUUCUGUUGCUAUUUCAGAAGACUUCUUGCAACCACUGCAAUUAAACAAGGUUGUAAAAAGGAAAGCUGGAUUUUAUUAAAGUGCAUUUUGUCUUUGGUUCUGUUUUCUGUGACAUUGGUUUUCACUGCUGCUCUCCAUGCUCAUGGUGGUGGAGAUCUAGUAAUCAGCCUUUCCAUAAUCUUUAUCAGGAAGGCUUAUUCUUGCUGCAGACGUGACAGUGAACAUUCAACUAUUGGUACAAUGUUCUGUUUUAGUGAAAAUGCUGCGUACUGCUGAGAAUCACUGAAUUGUAUUGGUGGGAAGAAGCCUCUGGAUGUCGUUGGAACAACAUUGCUCAAAUGAGGACCAACUGGCGGCAGAAUACAUUCAACUAUCUUAAACAAAGCUCAGCCCCAGCUUUUUAAAAAUGUGGCUACUUGCUAUCAUACUGUUGGAGCAGCCUUAUGAAUACCAGCAAGAGCAGAGCUGCUGAAUGAGGUUGGGUUAGCCAGGAGCUGAGGUGACCACAGCACAACCUUAUGACACCUGAGCAGAAGAGUGAGGUAGUGAUAGCAGUAUAUGUCAACAGUCCAGUGAUCUCUAGGUGACAGUCAGAUAAUUAGUCAUGUUCAAGGCUAAUCUGGGAAAUUUAAACUGUGCAAGGUAAGGGUUGGGAAGAGGUACUCAUAUGGUCAGGACAGGGGCCAGGGGCUUGGUGAGGGAGGGCUGUGGUGGUCCUCCUGAAGCUUGGGCAGGCUGAGGGAGGUGCUAGAAGGGGAGCUAGGAGGGAGGGAAGGAGGGCUGAUGCUCUCAUAAGCUCUUGGUAAGUAUGAAUGUGGUGCGUUCGGGCAAUAAUGAGCAUCAGUGCUUGUAAUUCCUUAAUGUGGUUGCUUUUUAGGGGUGGGAGUAGGAGGGAGAGGGAGAAGUUACUUUGACAUAAUGCUUAAGGGCUGUCUGAUGCUUCUCGUUUUAAUGCGGCUUGCUUGGGUAUCAGUAUUUUGGCGGUUAUUUUGUGUGCUGUAAAGAUCAUUCCCUUCUCUCCCCCGUGCUGACAGCUCCUUCACCGGGAGAGCUGUCACCGGCACUCCGCGGCCUCCUGCCACCCUCGUCCCAGCACCGGGACGAGGCACC